GCUGGGCGUGGUGGUGUGUGCCUGUAGUCCCAGCUACUCAGGAGGCUGAGGCAGAAGAAUUGCUUUAACCAGGGAGGCAGAGGUUGCAGUGAGCAGAGAUUGUGCCACACUGCACUCCAGCCUGGUGCUGGCGACAGAGUAAGACUUUGUUUAAAAAAAAAAAAAAAGAGACAGAGUCUCACUGUCGCCCAGGCUGGAGUGCAAGAGCACAAUCUCAGCUCACUGCAACCUCUGCCUCCCAGGCUCAAGCAAUUCUUCUGCCUCA
rnacentral:SRP_RNA from 1 species